AUAUUGUAAUGUUAACUUGUUAGAAUAGGAGAGGCGAAUACCCAAUAUUUCAAGAAGAAUAAACGAAAAGCGCAGUUUAUUUUGGAUUUUAAAGAGAGAAAACGAAAAUGGUUAACAAGGAGAAAAAGAAAUCAUUUGGACCAUUGGUAAAAUUCAAAUCUAUUGCGUGCAGCAACCAAAUAAUGGAGUAUGUUUUAAAUUAUUAAAGUUAAAUAGUGUAUAUUUAAUUCAAAUAUUUGUUAUAGAUUGUGCAUUUUAUUUUGAUUUUAUUAUUAAAUAAAGAGAAAUAAUAAAAAAA